AGAUUAAGUACUGGUUUAUCUCAUGUAAGACUCUCCUGGUCUACUGUAUCAGGAGCUACUGGUUAUGAGGUCUACUAUCAAUUGUCUAGUAAUACUCCUGUUAGUGUAUCCAACAUUAGUUAUACAACAAUCAAUAUAACAUCAGGAUUAUUUCGAGGGGUUACAUACACUUUCUAUGUAGUAUCUUAUGGAUCAUUUUUUCUGCCUAGUGGUAAUGCUUCAGUUACGUUAACAAUUAGUGAUCCAGUGGUUAAUGAUUUUAUGGCUACAUUAAUUACAAGUACUACCAUUACGUUAACAUGGAGUCCACCAACUGCUGUAGUACCAAUUAGUUAUAAUAUUAAUAGGAGGUGUAGGAGAGUAUGUGAAUCAUCAUUCAUUAGUAAUAGUGAAACAUCAGUUUUAUCACCACAUACUUCAACUGGUAUACCUCCUUACAGUCAAUGUGGCUUUGAUCUUAUUGGGGUAUAUGGAUCUGAUUUGAUAAAUUUCCAUACUAGUAAUUUAACUACACUCUCAACUGCUCCUACUGCACCAGUGGGUGAUAUUAAAUUCUCAUCAG